CUCUGGUAGUUGGGUAGUUGAAAUAAAUAAAACUGAUCCGACGUGGACCCUAAUUACGGUCCUAUCUAUAAUUUAAUUAGAUUUUUAUAUUAUUGCAAUUGACGGGGCGACAGAAAUACGAAUUCUUAAACAAUUUACUAUGCGAAAACGAAACAAAAAUAAUAAUAAAAAAAAAAAGUGAAAAUGCGUUUAGGAGACAAAUCACACCACAACUGGAAUGCAAAUAAGUAUGCACCUUUUUUAUUUCUGAAGCCCUCGUAUGUGUAUCGCUGGUCAUUGUGUGUUUCCUGAAAAGUGCACAACGUAACUAACGCACCAUCUAUUCAAAAAGGCAUUUGAACAAAUUUUAGCGAAUUGAAAUCAUGAACCAGCUCUAAUUCUCGGAGCUACCCUUAGGGAAACGAGCAUGCAAUGUUCUACAACAAGCUACAAUGUAAACGCAUCUAAUGAAAUGUAAGAAAAAGCUAUGAAUUUACCUCAGCUGCAGACUUUAUUUAAAUUGAAUACAAUUGUUUUUACUUUUACCAGUUUUAUUUAUGUAUUGUAUAUGCAAUUUACAAUAUGAAAGGAACAUCUAUCUUUGUUUACUUGUUUUUCAUUUUGUAGAUAUUAUUUUUUUUCUUUUAGUUACCAUUUCUAUACUUUAUUUAUUAGAUUUCUGAACGUUUCACUUCUCCUCGAAAAAGGACUAUAAAGACGCCCUCAGGAAAGCGUCAAUAUUUCUCAGCAAAAAAAAAAAAAAAAUACUUUGCAUCAGAUCCGCAUGGAAUGUUUUGAAUGAUUCAUUAAAAUAAAUAAACGGAUACUUUUAA
rnacentral:sRNA from 1 species